rnacentral:rRNA from 1 species
AUGACUCUCGGCAACGGAUAUCUCGGCUCUCGCAUCGAUGAAGAACGUAGCGAAAUGCGAUACUUGGUGUGAAUUGCAGAAUCCCGUGAACCAUCGAGUCUUUGAACGCAAGUUGCGCCCGAAGCCGUCAGGUUGAGGGCACGUCUGCCUGGGCGUCACG